AUUGAACGCUGGCGGCAGGCCUAACACAUGCAAGUCGAGCGGCAGCGGAAAGUAGCUUGCUACUUUGCCGGCGAGCGGCGGACGGGUGAGUAAUGUCUGGGAAACUGCCUGAUGGAGGGGGGUAACUACUGGAAACGGUAGCUAAUACCGCAUAACGUCGCAAGACCAAAGAGGGGGACCUUCGGGCCUCUUGCCAUCAGAUGUGCCAAGAUGGGAUUAGCUAGUAGGUGGGGUAAUGGCUCACCUAGGCGACGAUCCCUAGCUGGUCUGAGAGGAUGACCAGCCACACUGGAACUGAGACACGGUCCAGACUCCUACGGGAGGCAGCAGUGGGGAAUAUUGCACAAUGGGCGCAAGCCUGAUGCAGCCAUGCCGCGUGUAUGAAGAAGGCCUUCGGGUUGUAAAGUACUUUCAGCGGGGAGGAAGGCGAUAAGGUUAAUAACCUUGUCGAUUGACGCUACCCGCAGAAGAAGCACCGGCUAACUCCGUGCCAGCAGCCGCGGUAA
rnacentral:rRNA from 1 species